rnacentral:rRNA from 1 species
UACGUAGGGGGCAAGCGUUGUCCGGAAUCAUUGGGCGUAAAGCGCGUGUAGGCGGUCCGGUAAGUCCGCUGUGAAAGUCGGGGGCUCAACCCUCGGAUGCCGGUGGAUACUGUCGGGCUUGAGUGCGGAAGGGGCAACUGGAAUUCCCAGUGUAGCGGUGAAAUGCGUAGAUAUUGGGAAGAACACCGGAGGCGAAGGCGGGUUGCUGGGCCGACACUGACGCUGGGGCGCGAAAGCCAGGGGAGCAAACGGG